rnacentral:lncRNA from 1 species
UAUUUUGUUCCAUAUGUCACGAUACAAUAUAUAAGGAUACAACAUUAAGGAUUCAGAAUCUUCUAGAACAUGGACUUAUGAGUCUAAUGGAUAUCCACGUAACACUUUAUAACAAAUAACUUAUUUUUGGAGACAGUCACUACCAUUCCUUCCGCUGUUAUCUAAUCUCUUGCCUCUUUGUCUUUGAUUGCCUUAUUUGGCCUCUCUCCCAUAUAAACAUAUACACCACAAACUAGAAGCCACGCAAGUCUUUUUUUUUGUUUUACUUGCAA